rnacentral:rRNA from 1 species
CCUACGGGGGGCAGCAGUGGGGAAUAUUGGACAAUGGGGGGAACCCUGAUCCAGCCAUGCCGCGUGUGUGAAGAAGGCCCUCGGGUUGUAAAGCACUUUCAGUGAGGAAGAACGCCUGGUGGUUAAUACCCAUCAGGAAAGACAUCACUCACAGAAGAAGCACCGGCUAACUCCGUGCCAGCAGCCGCGGUAAUACGGAGGGUGCGAGCGUUAAUCGGAAUUACUGGGCGUAAAGCGCGCGUAGGUGGCUUGAUAAGCCGGUUGUGAAAGCCCCGGGCUCAACCUGGGAACGGCAUCCGGAACUGUCAAGCUAGAGUGCAGGAGAGGAAGGUAGAAUUCCCGGUGUAGCGGUGAAAUGAGUAGAGAUCGGGAGGAAUACCAGUGGCGAAGGCGGCCUUCUGGACUGACACUGACACUGAGGUGCGAAAGCGUGGGUAGCAAACAGGAUUAGAUACCCGAGUAGUC